ACGGCUCAGUAACACGUGGAUAAUCUGCCCUUAGGUGGAGGAUAAUCUCGGGAAACUGAGGAUAAUACUCCAUAGAUCUAGGAUGUUGGAAUGCAUCUAGAUUGAAAGCUCCGGCGCCUAAGGAUGAGUCUGCGGGCUAUCAGGUUGUAGUCAGGGUAAAGACCUGACUAGCCUACGACGGAUACGGGUUGUGAGAGCAAUAACCCGGAGACGAUAUCUGAGACACGAUACCGGGCCCUACGGGGCGCAGCAGGCGCGAAAACUUCACACUGUGCGAAAGCGCGAUGAGGGAAUCCCAAGUGUUUGCUCGUAAGAGUAAACUGUUUCUUUGUUUAAAACGCAGAGAGAGUAAGGGCUGGGUAAGACGGGUGCCAGCCGCCGCGGUAAUACCUGCAGCUCAAGUGGUGAUCAUUAUUAUUGGGCCUAAAACGUCCGUAGCCGGUUUAGUAAAUGCCUGGGUAAAUCGUGUAGCUUAACUAUACGACUUCCGGGUAGACUGCUAAACUUGAGACCGGGAGAGGCUAGAGGUACUCCUGGGGUAGAGGUGAAAUUCUGUAAUCCUAGGGGGACCACCAGUGGCGAAGGCGUCUAGCUAGAACGGGUCUGACGGUGAGGGACGAAGCCCUGGGGCACAAACCGGAUUAGAUACCCGGGUAGUCCAGGGUGUAAACGCUGCUUGCUUGAUGUUAGUUGGGCUCCGAGCCCAACUAGUGUCGGAGAGAAGUUGUUAAGCAAGCUGCCUGGGAAGUACGGUCGCAAGGCUGAAACUUAAAGGAAUUGGCGGGGGAGCACAGCAACGGGUGGAGCGUGCGGUUUAAUUGGAGUCAACGCCGGG
rnacentral:rRNA from 1 species